rnacentral:rRNA from 2 species
UGCAGUCGAACGAUGAACCACUUCGGUGGGGAUUAGUGGCGAACGGGUGAGUAACACGUGGGCAAUCUGCCCUGCACUCUGGGACAAGCCCUGGAAACGGGGUCUAAUACCGGAUACUGACCCCCGCAGGCAUCUGCGGGGUUCGAAAGCUCCGGCGGUGCAGGAUGAGCCCGCGGCCUAUCAGCUUGUUGGUGAGGUAACGGCUCACCAAGGCGACGACGGGUAGCCGGCCUGAGAGGGCGACCGGCCACACUGGGACUGAGACACGGCCCAGACUCCUACGGGAGGCAGCAGUGGGGAAUAUUGCACAAUGGGCGAAAGCCUGAUGCAGCGACGCCGCGUGAGGGAUGACGGCCUUCGGGUUGUAAACCUCUUUCAGCAGGGAAGAAGCGAAAGUGACGGUACCUGCAGAAGAAGCGCCGGCUAACUACGUGCCAGCAGCCGCGGUAAUACGUAGGGCGCGAGCGUUGUCCGGAAUUAUUGGGCGUAAAGAGCUCGUAGGCGGCUUGUCACGUCGGUUGUGAAAGCCCGGGGCUUAACCCCGGGUCUGCAGUCGAUACGGGCAGGCUAGAGUUCGGUAGGGGAGAUCGGAAUUCCUGGUGUAGCGGUGAAAUGCGCAGAUAUCAGGAGGAACACCGGUGGCGAAGGCGGAUCUCUGGGCCGAUACUGACGCUGAGGAGCGAAAGCGUGGGGAGCGAACAGGAUUAGAUACCCUGGUAGUCCACGCCGUAAACGGUGGGCACUAGGUGUGGGCGACAUUCCACGUCGUCCGUGCCGCAGCUAACGCAUUAAGUG